GACAGAGGUCCCGAGCGUUAGGCGGAUUCACUGGGCGUAAAGGGUGCGUAGGCGGCCGGGUAAGUCUGAUGUGAAAUCCCGCAGCUUAACUGCGGAACUGCAUCGGAUACUCUCCGGCUAGAGGAAUGGAGGGGAGACUGGAAUUCUCGGUGUAGCAGUGAAAUGCGUAGAUAUCGAGAGGAACACCAGAGGCGAAGGCGGCUCACUGGGUCUUUUCUGACGCUGAGGAACGAAAGCUAGGGAGCAAACGGG
rnacentral:rRNA from 1 species